rnacentral:rRNA from 1 species
UCUAGUUGAUCCUGCUAGCGGUUGCGGCUCUCUGAUUUGCGCUUAGGCAUGCAAGUUUUUUCUUUUGAUUCUUCGGAAUUUAGAGGAAAGCGAACUGCUCAGUAACACGUAGCUAACCUGCCCUUUGGUCAGGGAUAACCUUGGGAAACUAAGGCUAAGACCUGAUAGGAGAUUUUUCCUGGAAUGAUUUAUCUCUUAAAUUCGUGCCGAAGGAUGGGGCUGCGGUGGAUUAGAUAGUUGGCGGGGUAAUGGCCCACCAAGUCCACGAUCCAUAAGGGCUCUUAGCGGAGGGGCCCUGAGAGGGAGUCUGAGACACUACUCCCAGCCCUACGGGGUGCAGCAGCUAGGAAUCUUCUGCAAUACGCGAGAGCGUGACAGAGCGAGUCAGAGUGCUUCUCAUAGAGAAGCUUUUGCUUAAUUUAAAAUGUUAGGCGAAUAAGGACUGGGCAAGACUAGUGCCAGCCGCCGCGGUAAUACUAGCUGUUCAAGUCGCAACCAUCAUUAUUGGGUCUAAAACAUCCGUAGCUUGCUUAGUGAGUUCUUUGUGAAAUCCUAUCUCUUAAGGAUAGGGCGAGCAGAGAAUACUACUAGGCUAGAGACUGGAAGAUGUAAGAAGUACGUUCGAAGUAGUCGUAAAAUACGUUGAUCUUGGACGGACUCAUAAUAGCGAAGGCAUCUUACAAGGACAGUUCUGACAGUGAGGGAUGAAGGCCAGGGUCGCGAAAGGGAUUAGAUACCCCUGUAGUCCUGGCAGUAAACACUGCACACUAAACAUUAGUACCUCUUCGAGAGGUAUUAGUGCUUGAGGGAAGCCGAAGAGUGUGCUACCUGGGAAGUAUAGUCGCAAGACCGAAACUUAAAGGAAUUGGCGGGGAGACACUACAACGGGUGACGCGUGCGGUUCAAUUAGAUUCUACACCGUGAACCUCACCAGGAGCGACAGCAGAAUGAAGGUCAGUCUAAAGGGCUUACCUGACACGCUGAGAGGAAUUACAUAGCCGACGUCAGCCUGUGCCGUGAGGUGACCUGUUAAAUCAGGUAACAGGCGAGACCCAUGUCUUUAUUUACUAUACGUACAAUAGGGAGAUUGCCGUGGUAACGCGGAUGAAAGUAUGGGCUACGUUAGGUGGCACAGUCCGAAUCCCCUGGGCGACACGCGCGCGUCAAUGGUAGAUACAAUUGGAUGCAACUCCGAAAGGAGAAGCUAAUCCCCUAAAGUCUAUCUCAGUCCAGAUUGAGGUUUGAAACCCAGCCUCAUGACGAUGGAAUCCGUAGUAAUCGUUUGUUAUCAGCGAACGGUGAAUAAGUCACUGUCUCUUGCACACACUGCCCGUCAAACCAACCAAGUUGUGUUAGGAUGAAGCUAUUUGAAGAAUCCUAGCGCGGUGAGGUAGGUUAAGUCGUCACAAGGUAUCUGUAGGGGAACCUGCAGAUG